AGAGUUUGAUUAUGGCUCAGGAUGAACGCUAGCUACAGGCUUAACACAUGCAAGUCGAGGGGCAGCAUUGGAGUAGCAAUACUUCAGAUGGCGACCGGCGCACGGGUGAGUAACACGUAUCCAACCUGCCGCUUACUCGGGGAUAGCCUUUCGAAAGAAAGAUUAAUACCCGAUGGUAUAAAGAGUUCGCAUGUUCUCUUUAUUAAAGAAUUUCGGUAAGCGAUGGGGAUGCGUUCCAUUAGAUAGUUGGCGGGGUAACGGCCCACCAAGUCUACGAUGGAUAGGGGUUCUGAGAGGAAGGUCCCCCACAUUGGAACUGAGACACGGUCCAAACUCCUACGGGAGGCAGCAGUGAGGAAUAUUGGUCAAUGGACGAGAGUCUGAACCAGCCAAAGUAGCGUGAAGGAUGACUGCCCUAUGGGUUGUAAACUUCUUUUAUAAGGGAAUAAAGUGAGGGACGUGUCCCUUUUUGUAUGUACCUUAUGAAUAAGGAUCGGCUAACUCCGUGCCAGCCGCCGC
rnacentral:rRNA from 1 species